rnacentral:rRNA from 1 species
CAUACCUAUUCGAAGGGAUAGGGUCGGUUUGGCCGGAUUUCACACAGGUGUUGCAUGGCUGUCGUCAGCUCGUGUCGUGAGAUGUUGGGUUAAGUCCCGCAACGAGCGCAACCCUCAUCCUUAGUUACCAUCAGGUUAUGCUGGGGACUUUAAGGAAACUGCCAGUGAUAAACUGGGGGAAGGUGGGGAUGAUGUCAAGUCAUCAUGGCCCUUAUGGAGUGGGCUACACACGUGCUACAAUGGUGAUUACAAUGGGCUGCAAGGUCGCAAGGCUGAGCUAAUCCUAAAAAAUCAUCUCAGUUCGGAUUGUUCUCUGCAACUCGAGAGCAUGAAGUUGGAAUCGCUAGUAAUCGUGGAUCAGCAUGCCACGGUGAAUACGCUCUCGGGUCUUGUACACACUGCCCGUCACGCCAUGGGAAUUGGUUUCACUCGAAGCU